UUCUUCACUGCAUUGAUCUGAUUUAGGGUUUUUCUUUUUCUUUGGUAUAAGAUUAAGGGUUUUACUUUCUGCUGAAAUUCAGCGGAAUUGCUCUGUGAAACGGAAUAAGUGAAUUGGAGAGAGAGAGAAGGAGAUGGGUGUUGAGAGAAGGAGCCCCUAGGGUUUCAGAGCAUGAGGAGCUGUCUCGCCAAAAAUUGCAAGCCAUUCCUCUUGCUGAUAGCUUCACUACUAAAAUUCCGUCCCGUAACCCUAGAACGUCCCAAAGGUUCUUCUUUAGGACAGUCUCGUAUACAUUUUCCUGCAACCAGCUAUUCAGAAUUGAAUGGAUUGGUUAGAAUUUUAAUCUCGUUGUUGCCGGUCGCUGAACGAAGCAGUCAAACUAAUCAUAGCCUUUUAAUCUCGUUGUUGUGUUUCAGUUUCGAGGUUUGUCGAUAAUUGGCUCCGUUUUAUGAUGUUUUCGAAAGAUCAGUGGAAUGUGGUUUUCAAUCUUGAGGUUGACAUUUGUGAUGUUAACGAGAUAACUGUAAUGCGGUCUUGGGCAUUACGUGUUGUCAUGUUGAAUCAACCUAUCCUGAAGGUUUUAUGGCCACUGGUGUGAAUGUUUAUUGCACUUUCAUGCAUGUUUGGAUUGUAUUAGAGUAUGGGUUUCCAUUUGUCGGAAUCGUUCUGUUUCUCAAUUUUGAGGGUUCUAGUGAAGGGCCGGCUUGCCUCAACGGUAAGCUCACUGUCCCUGGGGUUCGAAUCAGCCUCUCUGCAUAAAAAUGUAAGGGCAAGGCUUACAGUGUUUUGUAGUUUUUGGCAUUUGUUAUAACUUGUAACGUGGUCUUGGACAAUGGUUCUCAUGGUUGAGUAAUCUCUUCCAAGGGUACUACUGCCACUGGUGAAUGUUCGCAUGAUUGAUUAUACCUUGGCAUGGCUCGAGUCUGCUGGGGUGGAGGAGGUCUUUGUGUUCUGCUGCGCUCGUUCAAAGCGAGUCAUUGAGUUUUUGGAGAAUUCCGAGUGGUGUUCACACCCGGGGUUCUUGGUUCAGACCAUAGACACACGGUUCUAUUAGUGCUGGAGAUGCCCUCUGGUUUAUUUACAAACAACGUACGGUAUGAGGUAUGAGUUCGCUCUUGUCUAGCCGGUACCAAACCCGGAUGGAGGAGGAGUGGUUUUGUGUGGCUCAAGGAAGCAGAGGAGGAAGAUGAAGACUGAAGGAGAAAGACAACAGUUGCUCUGACCAACACAAGUGUAUAUGAAUAUGAAUCAAAUCUCCCAAGAAAUUUUACAGAUUAUCUUGGUUACCUCGUACGGCUCAUGAAAUACAGACAAAAGAAAUAAAUUCAGUUCAACCGUUUUGGGUGGGUUUUCGGUUAA